CAGUGAAAACCACGUGAUCAUCCACGAGAGCGGUGUCGAGUCGCUGAGAUAACACGGUGUGCAGCUGGAUGAACACAGCAGGUCAAGCAGCAUCAGAGGAGCGGGAAAGCUGACGUUUCGGGCCUAGAUCCUUCGCUGAGACCAAGAUUUUUGCAAUUGAGAUACCAGCAAUUGUUGCCAAAGCCCUGUUGCCUGUGGAGAGGGUGAUGUUUAACUUUUGUGUGCUGCUGCAGUUCAUAUGAUGAAGGUGCUCCCACAAUGCGGUCAUUUUGAGAAGUUACAGAUCAUUGAUCUAGCGAUACUCAAGAGCUGAUGGUGAUAUUAUAAGUGGACUUUCAGGUGGGAAGCUCAAUAAUUGUAACACCAAACUGACAGAAUUACUCAAUUCAUCAGGACCUGGGUAUUCGCAUUGUAUUUCCACAAUUUUACUUGCGCACUAUUAUUUGUCUUUGAAGGAUCGAAAGGUUGAGUUACAGAUUUAUACAAUGCCUGUCCUUCCUCCCUGGCUCUCCCACCUCUCUCUCGGUAGGUUUGUGCAAACAUUGACUGGAUCCUUUACCCGGAGGAUAUCUAUGAAUUUAAUUUGUUCUAAUGAUAAGCCAGCAUAUUCCCCAAGUGUCGCUCCACAAAUGUCCAGAGAAUUUCUCAGUUUCACAAUCUGUGUGUUUGUCUGGUUUCUUGCUCUCACUGCACUUAGUUGCUGUUUGAAAGUAUAGUCUGCAGCUGGAGAAUUCGAACUGUUCCACAUCCAGGACUGACAGUCACUUUGUUUAUCACAACCCAAUUUUCUCAGGAUUUUGAACAUUGAAGGAAAAAGCAGCACUCACACUGGGGAGAAAUACAUAUGGUCUGUGUGUCGAAGAGUCUGUGAAGAUUCAUCUGAAAUGUCCGAAUACCAGCGCAGUGACACUGGAGAGAGACUGUGGAAAUGGGCAGAUUGCAAGAAGGAAUUUCUUCAUCCAUCCCGGCUAGAAACUGACCACCAGAGUCACACUGGAGAGAGACCAUUCACCCGCUCUGCUUGUGGAAUGGGAUUCACUCAGUCAUCAAACCACCUUAAACACCAGGGAGUUGACCCUGGAGAGAAAACAUUUAUUUGCUCGGAAUGUGGGAAAGCAUUCACUCAGACACCUCAACUGCUGAUACACCAGCAAAUCCACACUGGAGAGAGACCAUUGGCCUGUUCUGUGUGUGGGAAAGGCUUUGCCGACUCAAAUUCCCUUCAUACACCACCGAGUUCACUCUGGGGAGAGACCAUUCAUGAGCUCCGAGUGUGGGAAGGGAUUCACUGUCAUCCAAACUGGUAACACACCAGCGAGUUCAGAGAACCACAGUUGAAGGAAGUUGCUGUCACUCUCACUAUCAAAUGAACCAUGGUUUUGGGCUGUUUGAGAUGUUACUGAUCCCUGCUCAAGUAAGGGUGCUGGUAAUUAUGAAUAAAAUGUUAGUAACAGUUGUGUAA